CUCACCUAAACGAGGUCUCAAAGAAAUAAAAAAAAAUAUAUAAAAUUUAUAUAAAUAUGUUCUCAGAAUAUUAAUAUUUGAAAAUAAACUUAUUUUAAACUCAAAGUAGAAACUUCUUCUCAUGGAGCAGAUGAACGGUGGAUAGUGUGUAAUUAAAAAUUAGUCAAAUAUAAGGGGUAACGGAGCGUGUUAUCUACUAUGGGAUUUGGCACGGUAUAAUUGGACUAUUUGAUUCAAGUAA
rnacentral:lncRNA from 1 species